rnacentral:rRNA from 1 species
CCUACGGGAGGCAGCAGUGAGGAAUAUUGGUCAAUGGUCGGGAGACUGAACCAGCCAAGCCGCGUGAGGGAUGAAGGUACAGAGUAUCGUAAACCUCUUUUGUCAGGGAACAAAGGCGGGGACGUGUCCCCGGAUGAGUGUACCUGAAGAAAAAGCAUCGGCUAACUCCGUGCCAGCAGCCGCGGUAAUACGGAGGAUGGGAGCGUUAUCCGGCUUUAUUGGGUUAAAAGGGUGCGCAGGCGGUCUGUUAAGUCAGCGGUAAAAGCCCGGGGCUCAACCCCGGCCCGCCGUUGAAACUGGCAGUCUCGAGUUGGAGAGAAGUAUGCGGAAUGCGCGGUGUAGCGGUGAAAUGCAUAGAUAUCGCGCAGAACUCCGAUUGCGAAGGCAGCAUGCCGGCUCCACACUGACGCUGAGGCACGAAAGCGUGGGUAUCGAACAGGAUUAGAUACCCUGGUAGUC